rnacentral:rRNA from 1 species
UGUAUGCUUCUCCUAAAGACUAAGCCAUGCAUGCCUUCGAAUAAGAGGAAGCAAUUCUCUCUGAAUCUGCGAACGGCUCCGCAAACCAGUUGUAAACUAUAGCAAGCACGCCCGGGCCCUUCGGGGUUCGGGUAACACGGAUAACCCUGGUAAUUCUGAGGCUAAUACGAGACCGUAAUCCCUGGUUGGUCGGGCAACUGACUGGCUGGGGAGCGUGUGAUCUUCCGCUGAUUUUUUCCGGGAACGGGUACACGCUUUGACCGCGCUAAAAACGGAUGGGUGCUUCGGUGCCUGCCCGAGCGGCUCUUGCUGUGUGCUUCUGACCUAUCAACUAGAUGGCAGCGUAAUGGGACAUGCUAUGGUUACAACGGGUACAGAGGAUUAGAGUUCGAUCCUGGAGAGUGGGCCUGAGAGAUUGCUCAUACUUCUAAGGAAGGCAGCAGGCGCGUAACGUUCCCCUUGUACAAUGUAUGAGGGCGUUAGGGGACAUAUGAAUGCCUGCCCAUAGGGUGGGCAAUUCAAAUGGGUCUGUUGUAAACAGGCUCUCGAGUAACAAUUAGAGGACAAGUCUGGUGCCAGCACCCGCGGUAAUUCCAGCUCUAAUAGCAUACGUUAAAGUUGUUGCGGUUAAAACGCUCGUAGUCGGCUUCAGACCAUCAGAAGCCUGGCUCGUGAGCCCGGGUCCGCUGCCCUUCCGGGGCGCGCUGGGUGAACGGCUGGGUGGGCGUUGGUCAAGUGUGCCUCUUGCUGUCCUUCGGGUCACAGGGGCCGGGCUUGCUCGGUCUCGGCGGGGGGUACCACUUACCAUGACUAAACUGGACUGAUCAAGUGAGGCCGUUCGGUCUUGCACAGCACAGCAUGGCAUAAAGAUAACUGGCUCCGGGAGUAGCGCCCUGGGGUUGGUAAAAGCGAAAGGGGUGUUCGAGGGUGACCGAAUUGCUAGGCGAGUGGUGAAAUACGUUGACCCCAGCAAGUCGACCAAAGGCGAAAGCAGUCAUCAAGGGCACGCCCGUUGAUCAAGAGCGAAAGUUAAGGGUUCGAAGACGAUCAGAUACCGUCGUAGUCUUAACUAUAAAUGAUACUGACCAGGGAUAGGACACUGUCCAUCUCGACUCCUUCUGAACCUUAGAGAAAUUACAGUCUUUGAGUUCUGGGGGGAGUAUGGUCGCAAGGCUGAAACUUAAAGGAAUUGACGGAAGGGCACACAAAGAGUGGAACCUGCGGCUUAAUUUGACUCAACACGGGAAAACUCACCAGGUCCAGAUACACGUAUGAAAGACAAGCUGAAAGACUUUUCUCAAUGAUGUAAGUGGUGGUGCAUGGUCGUUCUUAGUUCGUGGAUUGAUUUGUCUGGUCUAUUCCGAUAACGAGCGAGACCCCGGCGUUCCUAAUAGGGGCCGCAGCCCGGCUCGCCUGCUUCGGCAGGCUUGCUAGCAGCAGCCUUCCUAGCUUCUUAGACGUAUCAGAGCCGAUAAGGUUCUUGAAAUGGGUUAAUAACAGGUCAGUCAUGCCCUUAGAUGUUCUGGGCCGCACGCGCGUUACAAUGGUAUACAUUAAAAAGUGCUUCUCAAGGGCGUCUCCGCGGCCUACGGGUCGCGGUAACCCCUAAUCUCUCCCUUGACUGGGACAGACUAUUGCAAUUAUUGGUCUCCAACGAGGAAUUUUUAGUAGGCGCAGGUCAUUAGCCUGUGCCGAAUGCGUCCCUGCCCUUUGUACACACCGCCCGUCGCUGCUACCGAUUGGGUUUUACAGUUACGUAUUCGGAGGCAGCGCUUUUCUGCCUUCUCACGGAGGCGGUAGGCGCAGCCAAAGUUUAAAUUACUGUACGGCCUAGAAGGAAAGCAGAAAGUCGUAACAAGGUAAUCGUAG